rnacentral:rRNA from 1 species
UGAUAGGAAUCUGGUGAGUAAACUGAGGGGCCCUCGAUAGUAUGUGUGGCGGACGGGUGAGUAACACGUGGGUAACCUGCCUGUAAGACUGGGAUAACUCCGGGAAACCGGGGCUAAUACCGGAUGGUUGUUUGAACCGCAUGGUUCAAACAUAAAAGGUGGCUUUGGCUACCACUUACAGAUGGACCCGCGGCGCAUUAGCUAGUUGGUGAGGUAACGGCUCACCAAGGCAACGAUGCGUAGCCGACCUGAGAGGGUGAUCGGCCACACUGGGACUGAGACACGGCCCAGACUCCUACGGGAGGCAGCAGUAGGGAAUCUUCCGCAAUGGACGAAAGUCUGACGGAGCAACGCCGCGUGAGUGAUGAAGGUUUUCGGAUCGUAAAGCUCUGUUGUUAGGGAAGAACAAGUACCGUUCGAAUAGGGCGGUACCUUGACGGUACCUAACCAGAAAGCCACGGGCUAACUACGUGCCAGCAGCCGCGGUAAUACGUAGGUGGCAAGCGUUGUCCGGAAUUAUUGGGGCGUAAAGGGCUCGCAGGCGGUUUCUUAAGUCUGAUGUGAAAGCCCCCGGCUCAACCGGGGAGGGGUCAUUGGAAACUGGGGAACUUGAGUGCAGAAGAGGACACUGGAAUUCCACGUGUACCGGUGAUAUGCGUAGAGAUGUGGAGGGAACACCAGUGGCGAACGCCACUCUCUGGUCUGUACCUGACGCUUAAUGAGCGAAAGCAUGAGGAGCCAACACGAAUUGUAUACCCUGCGUCAUCCCACGCCCGUAAACCGAU